GCUCCGGUGGUCUAGUGGUUAUAUACAUCCGCCACGGAUGCGGGAGGUCGUGGUUCGAUCCUCGGCGGAGUC